GGGCGCAUGGUUUAGUGGUAUAAUACUCCCUUAGCAUCUAGCAACAUGGGAGUGGUCCUGGGUUCGAUUCCCAGUGUGUCCA
rnacentral:tRNA from 1 species